UUUGCAAAUGGCUCUAUCGCUGUUUAUUUAUUUAAGCAGAGGAAAGUCUGGGCAACACAGAGCAUCCUGCUUCCUAACGGGAAGGUACCUUGUAAUUAGGUAACAGAAAGUGCUACAGAAAAUAAACUACUCCGUCCCGAUAGCUUUCGGGAUUGGAGAAAAGGUGAAAACGUGAGGUAAGAGCUCACGACUUUGUAUGGCGACAUACAUCGUGGUAAACCUCAGGAGUUGAAAGAUCAAAUAAGUUCAGAUUUUGAAGUUGCUCGCUUCAAUUGAUACGUCAAUAUCUGGAUGGGUAGAUCGAUAGAUCACAAUAGCAAUAUUGUGGCAAGAUAAAUGAUAGAGGUAUCUUGAUUAAUUUCAGGAUAACAGAACCCAGCUUAAAAGUUUGCAUAAUUA
rnacentral:RNase_P_RNA from 1 species